CCGUCCUCCCAACUUGAACAGUGAAUAAAGCGAGCGUAUGUGAAUGUUUAUAGGCAUCUCUUCCCCCUCAUAUGCGGAGCCAAUGACGUCGUCAUCGUCUCAAGCAGCCCUUCCAACCAGUUCGGGGGAUCCUCAGCAGCUGCAGGGGACCAUCGUAUGAUAUAACCUGAUGUGGGGGAGACGAGGAAACAGCCUGAGGAAGAAGUGGUUGUAGUCUUAACGCCUCCACUCACCGUAAAUAUUCAUUGAGAAUAACCGUUGUUCACUAACUAAACAAGCACACAAGGACUGGAUGAACAAGGUAAGAAUUGCACUUUUAAUACUGAUUGUACCCAAAUGGCUAGUUUAAAAGGGUUUAUUACGUAAUAAGAGGACUGUUACCUUUUUAUAUAAAUACAUAACAAUAAUUGUUCUAAUUAUUAGCUUGCUGGAUGUGGCUAAUAAAAAAAAUACAAAAUUAAUAACAUAAUAAAAAUCUACAUAAAUGCCGCAUCUUUCCUUGGUUAAAAAAAUACACAUAAUUUGAUAAAGCUAUUACGUAAAAGCAAAUGGAUGCUUCGUUAAAAAGGCACUUUUCUCUAAAUGUACACUGGCUUUGUCAGUGGUUGUGUAGCACCCAUUCUCCUCAUUUUCUUCAUUUACCGAUAAAAAUACAUCUAAAUUAAAAAGCUACACUAUAACAAUAAAUACAAUACUAUGUUCAGGUAGAUCGCGAUAAAAACACAUUGGACAGUUAAAAAAAUUGCAAAACACCUUGAAACAAUCAAUCGUCUCUAGAGUGGAAACCUCCAUAAUGAAUUAAUUUUAUUGUAAAUAUUGCACUUUUUUCGUCUAUCCAAUGCAGAUUUUCAAACUUAAUCGACUGAAGGUUAUUUACAUUCACAUGUACAAGACAGGUUGGUUACUAAUGAAGAAAAGGACCUACGCUUUUGUAAUAAUUACUUGAACACCCUGGCAUUUGAUUCUAUUAGGAUCUUUAGUGCCUAUUAAAAGCACUUCCACAUAAGUAAGAAAAAAGUCGCCGAAUAACAGCGAUUUUAAGUAGUCGAACUAGCAUUAAAUUAAUGAAAAUAACAGAAUCCAAUACCAAAACUGUCUCGAACUAAGAAUGAUCAAAAGAGUUCAAUCUCAAACGUAUUCGGUUUGCUUUCAUCAGUAACACUCGGAAUUUCAACAUGAAAACACGCUCUAUUUUAUGGCAAACUAAUAAC